GACGUAGGGUGCGAGCGUUGUCCGGAUUUAUUGGGCGUAAAGAGCUCGUAGGCGGCUCGUCGCGUCGACCGUGAAAACCCGCGGCUUAACUGCGGGCUUGCGGUUGAUACGGGCGGGCUAGAGUUCGGUAGGGGAGACUGGAAUUCCUGGUGUAGCGGUGAAAUGCGCAGAUAUCAGGAGGAACACCGGUGGCGAAGGCGGUCUGCUGGGCAGUUGCUGACACUGAGGCGCGACAGCGUGGGGAGCAAACAGG
rnacentral:rRNA from 1 species